GCCAGAUGCAGUAGCACGUGCCUAUAGUCCCAGCUAUUCGGGAGGCUGAGACAGGAGGAACACUUGAGUCCAGGAGUUCUGGGCUGUAGUGUGCUAUGCUGAUCAGGUGUCUGCACUAAGUUCAGCAUCAAUAUGGUGACCUCCCAGGAGCAAGGGACCACCAGAUUGCCUAAGGAAGAGUGAACUGGCCCAGGUUGGAAACAGAGCAUAUCAAAACUCCUGUGCUAUUCCGUAGUGGGAUUGCACCUGCACUCUGGCCUGGGCAAUAUAGUGAGACUCUGUCUCUA
rfam:Otolemur garnettii contig036127, whole genome shotgun sequence.